GAUGAACGCUGGCGGCGUGCCUAAUACAUGCAAGUCGAGCGAACAGACGAGGAGCUUGCUCCUCUGACGUUAGCGGCGGACGGGUGAGUAACACGUGGAUAACCUACCUAUAAGACUGGUAUAACUUCGGGAAACCGGAGCUAAUACCGGAUAAUAUAUUGAACCGCAUGGUUCAAUAGUGAAAGACGGUUUUGCUGUCACUUAUAGAUGGAUCCGCGCCGCAUUAGCUAGUUGGUAAGGUAACGGCUUACCAAGGCAACGAUGCGUAGCCGACCUGAGAGGGUGAUCGGCGACACUGGAACUGAGACACGGUCCAGACUCCUACGGGAGGCAGCAGUAGGGAAUCUUCCGCAGUGGGCGAGAGCCUGACGGAGCAACGCCGCGUGAGUGAUGAAGGUCUUCGGAUCGUAAAACUCUGUUAUUAGGGAAGAACAAAUGUGUAAGUAACUAUGCACGUCUUGACGGUACCUAAUCAGAAAGCCACGGCUAACUACGUG
rnacentral:rRNA from 1 species